UGGACCAGGAGCAGAGGCCACGCUCUGUGAGCACAUGACAGCAUUUCAUCAAAACUCUGAGCUCCCUCAAUAAUCAUUAGGUUGAAGAUUUUAAAUGUCUGCAUCAGCACUCCACUUUGAGCUAUUCCAGGAGAGAGCCAUGAGAGGGAGCAGGUACAAAAUGAGUAUCAUCACCAAGAAUGAAAAACUGCACUGCACAGGAAGACCUGCACCCAGUUAGACUCCAGGAGACCUC